UACGUAGGGUGCAAGCGUUGUCCGGAAUUAUUGGGCGUAAAGAGCUCGUAGGCGGUCUGUCACGUCGGCUGUGAAAACCCGAGGCUCAACCUCGGGCCUGCAGUCGAUACGGGCAAACUAGAGUACUGCAGGGGAGACUGGAAUUCCUGGUGUAGCGGUGAAAUGCGCAGAUAUCAGGAGGAACACCGGUGGCGAAGGCGGGUCUCUGGGACGGUACUGACGCU
rnacentral:rRNA from 1 species